AACCCAUGGUAAGAACAUUAUCUCUGUAAUUCUUUGAACUACUCCCAAACUUCAUAUAAUGUCUCAACAUCUCUCUGAUAGAAAGUAUUUAUCUCAUUUCUCAAUUU